rnacentral:rRNA from 1 species
CAGUCGAACGAGUUCUCGUUGAUGAUCGGUGCUUGCACCGAGAUUCAACAUGGAACGAGUGGCGGACGGGUGAGUAACACGUGGGUAACCUGCCCUUAAGUGGGGGAUAACAUUUGGAAACAGAUGCUAAUACCGCAUAGAUCCAAGAACCGCAUGGUUCUUGGCUGAAAGAUGGCGUAAGCUAUCGCUUUUGGAUGGACCCGCGGCGUAUUAGCUAGUUGGUGAGGUAACGGCUCACCAAGGCGAUGAUACGUAGCCGAACUGAGAGGUUGAUCGGCCACAUUGGGACUGAGACACGGCCCAAACUCCUACGGGAGGCAGCAGUAGGGAAUCUUCCACAAUGGACGCAAGUCUGAUGGAGCAACGCCGCGUGAGUGAAGAAGGCUUUCGGGUCGUAAAACUCUGUUGUUGGAGAAGAAUGGUCGGCAGAGUAACUGUUGUCGGCGUGACGGUAUCCAACCAGAAAGCCACGGCUAACUACGUGCCAGCAGCCGCGGUAAUACGUAGGUGGCAAGCGUUAUCCGGAUUUAUUGGGCGUAAAGCGAGCGCAGGCGGUUUUUUAAGUCUGAUGUGAAAGCCCUCGGCUUAACCGAGGAAGCGCAUCGGAAACUGGGAAACUUGAGUGCAGAAGAGGACAGUGGAACUCCAUGUGUAGCGGUGAAAUGCGUAGAUAUAUGGAAGAACACCAGUGGCGAAGGCGGCUGUCUGGUCUGUAACUGACGCUGAGGCUCGAAAGCAUGGGUAGCGAACAGGAUUAGAUACCCUGGUAGUCCAUGCCGUAAACGAUGAAUGCUAGGUGUUGGAGGGUUUCCGCCCUUCAGUGCCGCAGCUAACGCAUUAAGCAUUC